rnacentral:snRNA from 1 species
AUACUUGCCUGGUGCCGGGGCCUCGUUGACAACCGGGGAUGAGCCGUCAGGGAGGGGCGCGGGCAUUGCAUUGCGCUUGUGUUGACUUCUGCCACUGCCCCAAACUGGGGCAGAUGGAGCAUGCACAUUUCUUAAAUC